rnacentral:rRNA from 1 species
CCUACGGGAGGCAGCAGUGGGGAAUAUUGUACAAUGGGCGAAAGCCUGACGCAGCGACGCCGCGUGAGGGAUGGAGGUCUUCGGAUCGUAAACCUCUGUCAGCAGGGAAGAACGGUCACUGUGCUAAUCAGCAGUGAAUUGACGGUACCUGCAAAGGAAGCACCGGCGAACUCCGUGCGAGCAGCCGCGGUAAGACGGAGGGUGCGAGCGUUAAUCGGAAUUACGGGGCGUAAAGCGCUCGUAGGCGGUAUGUCAAGUCUAGGGUGAAAGCCCCGCGCUCAACGUGGGAACUGCCUUUGAAACUGGCAAACUGGAGUGUGUGAGAGGUAAGUGGAAUUCCAGGUGUAGGAGUGAAAUCCGUAGAUAUCUGGAGGAACAUCAGUGGCGAAGGCGACUAUCUGGCCCAUAACUGACGCUGAGGAGCGAAAGCGUGGGUAGCAAACAGGAUUAGAUACCCGGGUAGUC